rnacentral:rRNA from 1 species
GUCGAGGGGUAACAGGAGUAGCUUGCUACUUGCUGACGACCGGCGCACGGGUGCGUAACGCGUAUACAAUCUACCUUUUGCUGAGGGAUAGCCCAGAGAAAUUUGGAUUAAGACCUCAUGGUAUGUAGGAAUGGCAUCAUUCUUAUAUUAAAGGUUACGGCAAAAGAUGAGUAUGCGUUCUAUUAGCUAGAUGGUGUGGUAACGGCACACCAUGGCAACGAUAGAUAGGGGCCCUGAGAGGGGGAUCCCCCACACUGGUACUGAGACACGGACCAGACUCCUACGGGAGGCAGCAGUGAGGAAUAUUGGGCAAUGGAGGCAACUCUGACCCAGCCAUGCCGCGUGCAGGAAGACUGCCCUAUGGGUUGUAAACUGCUUUUAUACAGGAAGAAACACUCCCUCGUGAGGGAGCUUGACGGUACUGUAAGAAUAAGGAUCGGCUAACUCCGUGCCAGCAGCCGCGGUAAUACGGAGGAUCCAAGCGUUAUCCGGAAUCAUUGGGUUUAAAGGGUCCGUAGGUGGAUAAUUAAGUCAGAGGUGAAAUCCUGCAGCUCAACUGUAGAAUUGCCUUUGAUACUGGUUAUCUUGAGUUAUUAUGAAGUAGUUAGAAUAUGUAGUGUAGCGGUGAAAUGCAUAGAUAUUACAUAGAAUACCGAUUGCGAAGGCAGAUUACUAAUAAUAUACUGACACUGAGGGACGAAAGCGUGGGGAGCGAACAGGAUUAGAUACCCUGGUAGUCCACGCCGUAAACGAUGGUCACUAGCUGUUCGGAACUUGUUUCUGAGUGGCUAAGCGAAAGUGAUAAGUGACCCACCUGGGGAGUACGUUCGCAAGAAUGAAACUCAAAGGAAUUGACGGGGGCCCGCACAAGC